AUCACUUGACAGUAAAUGCAUGGAAGGCUGUUUUAAUCCGAAAAGUAGUAACGUCAGCGAUCUCUGAUGUUGACAAUCAUCUCUGAAAUUCGAAGAAGUGCCGGUGCAGGCCUGAAUAGCCUAACGUAGCAGUGAAACAGACAGACUCUGCAGAACGAACCUAUCUGACAUUUCAUCUUAUACGGCUCUCCGUGGGACAUUUAUUGAACAUACUCAGGUGAUGUGCCGAACGUAACGCCUACAGUUGACUCUCUGCACACUCGGAGUCGGGGUUACUCAAGUAAACUGUACACGAUUGAAUGAACCAUAUAUUAUUUUUUUAGAGCCAUAGUAUUAUUAUUACUUUUCUUUAUUCAAUUUUAUAGGACAUUUUGGGAAGCAAGGAGGGGUCGAAUUCAUUCAAUUAAAAUGGAAAUUAAAACAGAAAAUUCUUAUGCUUAAACUGCUUUAUUAACUUAACAUUAGCAGCUCAAAAUAUUAUAGGAUUCUUAUCUUCGUUUGUUUAUAACGGAGGUCUUCAGAGAUAAAAAAAAAACCCGAUCGUACCGAACAAAACAUGAAAUAAUGAAAAGGCAGCUGCAAAUAUCUCCCGCGACCACGACCCAUCCGCUUGACAAGAUAAAGGCAAUGGCAAAUCGUGGAAAAAUGCGACUACUUUCUCGUCAACUAUUGGAUGUUCUGGCAAAUACUAAAUUGAAUACCGCCUUCAUUUGUGCAAAGAGGAUAGAAAGGCUACGAAUAUUGAAGAGGACAAGGGCGUCUGCAGAUCAUAUGUUCGCGUGUCGUGACUCCUCUGGAUAGCAUCCGAUGUAUGGACCUGCCACGAACUCGGUGUGCGGUGCCUAUAAAUAGAUGCACUGAACGACAUCCUCAAUCUCAGAGCUACCAUCGGCCUCAAUCAGAUAGAAAUACAUAAGGCUCAACAAGCUGUUAGUUUUUUUAUGUAAGCACGAAAAGCCGACACGAGCUUAAGAAAAGAGACGUAUAAUAGAAGCCAAUAUUGGAAUCCAGUUUUUCUCUGUUCAACAAGUAAAUCCGCGCCUAUUAUUAAUGGUGUCGCGGACAACGAUGUAUGAACGGAACAAGUUUUAAGCUCACCGAAUGUUCUAGCGAUACAACUAUGUGAGCUCGGUGAGCAAUAGUAGAAAUCUGACUAAAAAACUAUCCUUACUAAUGACAGAUGGACCUUAUUCCUUGCCGGAUACAGCAUUCUAUGUAAAUAGACGAAAACUUACAAUUAAAAAAAAAAUUGUAAAAUUACUAAAUUAACAACUUCCGCGCAUUUGCCUACUAAACAAAUUAUAUUAAACAGCCAUUAUACUUAAAGAAGUGAGGAAUCUUGUCUGUUCGCUUUAAACGUCUUCCCUUCUUUUUAUCAUUUCGGUUAUUCUGAUUCCUUUGCUCGUACGCUGACUGUGAUCCGUCUAAACUUAAAUGGCCAGAUUCGCGUAAAACACCCAUUAAGCGACGACACCUCGUUUGAAGAAGUGGGAAGGAGUGGUAAUGGGGUAAUUUUAAUCUAAACAUACUUCGAAUAUAUGUAUAUAUGUGUAUGUAUUUUAAGUUCUUUGACGGACGGUUUGCCAUGGCCUGAAUAUCGCCAGAUAGAAACACCUAAGCAACAGUACCACAGCUGUCGAUCGUGUGUGGUUAUUUUGAAAAUUGUCAACCCCGAGCUAUUAAUCGGCAAAAAAAGUAUAUCGUUUUCAUCACAAAUUGAACUAUUGAUAUCUGUCGGAUUGGCACCCUAGGAUACCGUAUGAAAUCUGUUGUUCGGCUUAACUAUUUAGCGCGUCUUCCUAAACAGCGGCGUAACAGUAUCGUCAUGUUAAGAGCAUUUGUUAUUAAAAUAGCACCUUGACGAGACGCUUCCAACUUCACUGUAGGGAAAUGUAGAAACUCUCGCAUCAUCAAGGACCUGCCCGACAUGAAAAAGCACUGUUCAUUUAAAUGACCUUAAA